UACGGAGGGUGCAAGCGUUAUCCGGAUUCACUGGGUUAAAGGGUGCGUAGGUGGGUCUGUAAGUCAGUGGUGAAAUCUCCAAGCUUAACUUGGAACUGCCGUUGAUACUAUAGACCUUGAAUGCUGUGGAGGUGAGCGGAAUAUGUCAUGUAGCGGUGAAAUGCUUAGAUAUGACAUAGAACACCAAUUGCGAAGGCAGCUCACUACCCAGAUAUUGACACUGAGGCACGAAAGCGUGGGGAUCAAACAGG
rnacentral:rRNA from 1 species